CAAUACGUCAGUGGCAGACGGGUGAGUAACGCGUGGGAACGUACCUUUUGGUUCGGAACAACACAGGGAAACUUGUGCUAAUACCGGAUAAGCCCUUACGGGGAAAGAUUUAUCGCCAAAAGAUCGGCCCGCGUCUGAUUAGCUAGUUGGUGAGGUAACGGCUCACCAAGGCGACGAUCAGUAGCUGGUCUGAGAGGAUGAUCAGCCACAUUGGGACUGAGACACGGCCCAA
rnacentral:rRNA from 1 species